rnacentral:rRNA from 1 species
CCCUUAGAUGUCCGGGGCCGCACGCGCGCUACACUGAAGGAAUCAGCGUGGCUUUCUCCCUGACCCGAAAGGGUUGGGAAACCCGUUGAAUCUCCUUCGUGAUAGGGAUUGGGGCUUGAAAUUGUUCCCCAUGAACGAGGAAUUCCCAGUAAGCGCGAGUCAUAAGCUCGCGUUGAUUACGUCCCUGCCCUUUGUACACACCGCCCGUCGCUACUACCGAUUGAGUGAUCCGGUGAAUAAUUCGGACUGCAGCAAUGUUUGGAUCCCGAACGUUGCAGCGGAAAGUUUAGUGAACCUUAUCACUUAGAGGAAGGAGAAGUCGUAACA